AUUGAACGCUGGCGGAAUGCUUUACACAUGCAAGUCGAGCGGCAGCGCGGGGGCAACCCUGGCGGCGAGCGGCGAACGGGUGAGUAAUACAUCGGAACGUGUCCUUAAGUGGGGGAUAGCUCGGCGAAAGCCGGAUUAAUACCGCAUAAGCUCUGAGGAGGAAAGCGGGGGCUCCGUAAGGACCUCGCGCUGUUGGAGCGGCCGAUGUCGGAUUAGCUAGUUGGUGGGGUAAAGGCCCACCAAGGCGACGAUCCGUAGCUGGUCUGAGAGGAUGAUCAGCCACACUGGAACUGAGACACGGUCCAGACUCCUACGGGAGGCAGCAGUGGGGAAUUUUGGACAAUGGGGGCAACCCUGAUCCAGCCAUUCCGCGUGAGUGAAGAAGGCCUGGUU
rnacentral:rRNA from 1 species